UACGAAGGGGGCUAGCGUUGUUCGGAAUUACUGGGCGUAAAGCGUGCGCAGGCGGCUUCUCAAGUCAGGGGUGAAAGCCCAGAGCUCAACUCCAGAACUGCCUUCGAUACUGGCGAUCUCGAGUUCGGGAGAGGUGAGUGGAACUGCGAGUGUAGAGGUGAAAUUCGUAGAUAUUCGCAAGAACACCAGUGGCGAAGGCGGCUCACUGGCCCGAUACUGACGCUGAGGUGCGAAAGCGUGGGGAGCAAACAGG
rnacentral:rRNA from 1 species